GCGAGUACGGCCCUCACGGGUCUAAUCCACCAUAAACACCUUUGUGAACCAGUCAGGGGGACUCGGCCGUGAAAGCCCAGGCGAUUAGCGGAAGGGCCCUCCUUUGCAAACCCGUUUAGAAGUCUUGAAAGUACUUUUGUAUAAUCUAGUA
rnacentral:misc_RNA from 1 species